AUUGAUGUGGAGAAAACACCUUUCCCUUCUAGUUUUGAGAGACUUCCUCUUGGCUCCCAGGAGGAGGGAUUCCCUGACUUUGACACACAUGGCCACCUUGGCACAAAAGCCUUGUGGUAUAGAAAAACAAAUUUGUUUUUAUGUCCUCUUCUCCCUUUCCAUCUUUCAGCAUAGACUUAACUCCCUUAAGCCCAGACAUCUGUUGGGACCUGACCCCUAGUCAUUGGUUACCAGUGUGUCAGGCAAUCUGGACUUUCCAGUGAUGCCACUGAGAUGGCACCUGUCAAAAGAG
rnacentral:lncRNA from 1 species